AUCGCCCGUACCUAAAGUGAUCUCCUUACUCUGCUCUACCUCUUGACAUUCCUGACUUCCUUCAAGAAUCAAUUUCAAAAUACCACAUUCUGCAGAAGGUCUUCCUGGUUCCCCCAUCCACUCUAUUGCUUUGAUAGGUCCACUUAAAUCCUGUUCAAAUUCAGUCACAUAACUGGCACUAGAUGACGUAACUAGGAGGAUAGAGACACAGAAUAACCAAGUCCAAAAAUCUUAAGAGUUCAGCCUCCUCUGGUAUUUGCCAAGACAAUGGAUUGGAAGAUCCCUUGGGGAAGAAGAAUAAGAUGAACGGUAUGGCAGAGAGGCUAUAAUGAGAGUAUGGGAAAGUACACAGAGCAUGAUUAUUAGUCAAUUCAUUCAAUAAUCAUUAAGGGCCUACUGUGUGCAAGUCACCACAAGAGACUGGCAAAGACAAAAACAAACAAAAAUCUCAGUAUGUUCUCUUGUCUGCCCAUUGAUUUUUUGAGCUGACCCCCACUCCUGCCCUACGGCUACAAAGACAUGAAUGAAAAGAUAUGACACUUUUGAGCACCUACUAUUUACAAGGUAUAGAAUGGAAACCACAUUGUUGGUUGAUGCCAGGGUCUUUGCCCCACUUGCCACCCUAUUAUCAGCUCUGAGGCCUAUUUCAAGUCCUCCUUUCUAAAUCGUUGACUUAACUUCAAGCCAGAAUUGUGGGUGCUUGAGCUCAUAGAAAAUACCACUGAAUCAAUGAAGAAAUCUCCAAGUCUUUAUCAAGCACAAUGCACCCAGAAAAAUACUAGGUGCUAUGGGGCACAUAAAAGAAAUAUAUUACAUUGCCCUUGUUUUCUGGAAACAUACAAUAAAGGUGGAAAAAAUAAACUCACAUAUCUGAAAAGAUAAACAAUUCAGGAUCUGAAAUGCUUCCUCCUUAUCAUCCAGGCUUAGAAUCCUAGCUUCCUUCCAAGGUAAGCUCAACUGU